rnacentral:misc_RNA from 1 species
GAUGAGAACGCAGCGAAAUGCGAUAAGUAAUGUGAAUUGCAGAAUUCAGUGAAUCAUCGAAUCUUUGAACGCACCUUGCACCCUUUGGACUGCUCCAAAGGGUAUGCUCGUUUGAGUGUCAUUGUACUCUCACACUCUCUGAUCCUUUGGAUUUGGGGAGCAGUGGACUUGGGUGCUUGCUGCUUCCUUGUGGCUCACCUGAAAUGCAUCAGUGCAUCUCUCGAUUGGACAUAGUACGGCGUGAUAAGUGUCUUCGCCGGCACCUCAUAUGAGGGUGGCCGAUCGGGAGCUCUGUGCUUUCAAACCGUCUUCGGACAACGCUGACAACUUGACCUCAAAUCGAGUAGGACUUCCCGCUGAACUUAAGCAUAUCAAUAAGCGGAGGA